GGUCCCCAGAGGACACUACAUAGAGACUUGCUGCUUCCGUGCGGAUACCUACCUGUCGAAGAGGACACUCAGCCUGUGCAGAAGUCGGUGCCGCGCAGACCAAGAACACGUGCCAACCCUGUAGCAGAGGCAGAGAGCUCCUCGGAUGACGACGACUACUCGCUCAUCCCUGUCUGGUUGAGUUCCCCUGUCCCUGAGAUCACAGAGAGUCCAGUGCACCCAGAUCUUCCCAUGGCCAAUGUCCAAGAGCCCCAAGACCCUUGUCCUGCAAAUCAUAACUUACCUGAACUUGACACCCAACCUAAGUUACCUGAUCUGAACUUACCCGACAUGUCCGAAAGUAUUCCAGAUAGUCCUUUGAUGAUCGAGUCUACCUCUCACCAGAGUGAUCCUGAAUACUUACGUACCGAUACAGACAUACUCACUGAUAAAGACCUACCCACCGUUAAAGACAUACCUACCGAUAAAGACACACCCACCGAUAACGACAACCCCACAGAUAGAGACAUUCCAAUAGAGCAAGAACAUGAGGAGAAUGAAAGUCUACAAGUAGUGGAACCUGAGGAACAACAUGAUGAAACGACUGAAACCACAAGUAUUCACGAAAACACAAACCCUGAUGAACCCCUCAGGAGAUCUGAGCGCAAUCGUCAACCCCCACAACGGCUUGACUAUGCAGAAUUAGGAAAUCCUUUGGCCAAGGCAAUGAGAUCCUUCUUUCAAGGCUUGUCCAUAGCUUGGUCCGAAGUGAUCAAUGAAGUACCUGUACAAUCCACUACCCCAUCCCCAGUGAUUGCUGUGUAGAUGUCCACCUUGCACAGGGACGUGCAAAGGUUCAGGAGGGGAGGAUGAAACCCGGAGUUCAAAAGACAUGAACACACACACGCACGCACGCACGCACACACACACACACACACACACUCACGCACACACACACACACACACACACACACACACACACACACACUCACUCAUGUACACAAUGUAAACAACACAGUUCACGACCUACACACCAUCCACUCGCAUCCACUACAUACUACGCAAGAUACACGAAACAGAGUGACCCCUGUUCUAUCAGUAUUCCCCAAUGAAAUAUGACAACAGCUACACAUACACGCAAGAAUUACUACAGCCAAUCAGAUGUCACACGAGCCUAAGAACGCGAGCCGCUGAAUGAAACCAAGGCGCAAGGAUUGUUUCAGUCUCUUUGACAACCAUCAUCUGAGCCAGCCACUUGCUGUUUGGAAACUUUAUCAUCAUCGUUAUAACCGUUAACAACAUCAACAUUUUUUGAGCAUCACCGGACAGUGUGGAAGAUCACGACAGUAAGAACAUCAUCAAGAGCCACAUGUUAGCUGACAGCCACGUCGGUAAGACAACUCUUUUAUGUGACAAACGAAAACACUGAUAUUUACCGCCAUCUCCGGCACUGAUGCACUGAUUCUGCUAACAGGCUAACCCCUCAAGAACCACCAGAGGCAUCAACUUCUCACCAUCGUAUCAUCACAUCACACAUCACCAUCUUCAGGAGCGACGGCUAACCCCCGAGAACUGCCAGGCACCAUUCACCAUUCACCGCUGUGUCUAAGUGUACUCACCGGAUUCAUCCCCUUGAGCACAUCAUCAGGAGCAACGGUGAGGAAUAACAUCUGUUUAGCCGUUUAGUGCCCUUGUCCCAUCUCCUGCACUAUAUCAAUGGUUAGCCACAGAAAUGUUAGCAAUGCCCGACAAGAGUAACGGUUGUCUCCGAACGUUCCCAAUGCACUGACCAGGCUAACGUUGUAAGCGUCACUGGUGAAAAAGAAUAUGUUUACGAUCUUCACGAUCUUUACAGAUACUGAUAACUGAUUACUGAUACUGAUAACUGAUAUUACAGAUACUGAUAACUGAUAUUACUGAUAACUGAUAUUACUGAUACUGACUACUGAUACUGAUAACCAUUAGUAGCCAUUACUAAUUAUUGAUAUUUAUAACCAUCAGUAGCCAUUACUGAUACUGAUGCUGAUUACCAUCAGUAGCCUUACACUAGUUACACUAGCCUUACAGUAGUUGCUAUUAUUUACAUAACACUAGUUAUUAUUACUGAUGGGUUCUACACAAAGAGAAGUUUAUUACUAUUUCUUUAAUAGUGAUUUAACUAAGACAAGAGGAUAAUUUCAUUGCUGUUAUGAAUGUAAUGUUUCAUUGCACUAUGCAAUUUAUUGAAACCUUUCACAGUAUUUAAUUUAAAGUAAAUAAAGGGUAAUUUUUAGUGCAGUUUCUUCUUACAUGAAUAGGCCUAUUAGUGUAAGAGGAUAUUAAGCACGUCUCUGACAGUGAUCCCUUCUAAGCUUUAGAUUCUAAUGUGUAUUUUAUGGUUUAUGUUGUAUGUAUUUAUUGUUGAGGCAUUUUGAAUGUAGUUUUAUUGGACCCUUUGCUACCUGCGUUUUGUAGAAAGGCGUAGCACAUGAACGACUUGUUUUCAUGCACUUGAAUUUAAUGAUUUAAGAAGAUAUGUGAUUUGUCAUCCCAGUAUGACAAUUUGAUAAAUUAGAUAAUAUGAUGCAUCUUAGAUUUAUUGUACAUUGUACUAAUUGAAAUGUAUGUAUGGAUGAAUGUGACCUAUCAGGUCAGGUUUUUUUGGACGGAUAGGAUUGAAAAGAAGACAACUGGGCCAGGACUUCACCUGGUCAAAGGACACUGAUGGCGAGCCUUUCCCAGAGCGACCACGGAUACCCUUAAGUACCCUACAAAGGAACUUUCCCCCCCUUUUUCCACUUUUUACCAUUUCUAUUUUGUUUAAGGCCCCGGGACCAUUGUUUAUUUUAAGUGUGCACACUGUUUUAUUUUAUUUGGGUUUUUAUACACUUCAAACAUUUUGUAAACAAUAUACGAGUUUUCACUCAAAAAGGAA